rnacentral:RNase_P_RNA from 1 species
CGAGUUGGUCGAGCUAUCGCUUAAUAUUUAAGAGGAAAGUCCGGACUUCAAAGAGCAAGGUGCCAGCUAACAGCUGGGAAGCGUGAGCUUACGGAAAGUGCAACAGAAAAAAUACCGCCACUUUGGUAAGGGUGAAAAGGUAAGGUAAGAGCUUACCGCACAUACGAAAGUUUGUGGCAGUGAAAACCCCACCUGAAGCAAUGCCAAGUAGAGAUUAAAUUGUGUUGCUCGCACAUAAUCAGGGUAGGCAGCAAGAAUGAUGUGGCGACACAUCAUCUAGAUAAAUGAUAGCUGAAAACAGAAUCCGGCUUAUAGACCAACUCAAUUC